rnacentral:tRNA from 2 species
AGAAGCUUAGGAUUAAGCUUAUCAAACCAGUGGCCUUCAACACCACAAACAAGGGAUAAACCCUUAGCUUCUG